UAGAGCCUUUGUCAUGGCAAGUACUGAUUGGAAUAAAAGUGACUGAGCAAUGUCAGGCUUUUCCCAGUUAGUACAGCCAAUUAGAGAAGGACAUAUCGCAAGGAGACAUUUGAGCAGAUGAUGAACUACACAGCGUGUAUCUUUCAAUUUUGGGGAUAGUCAAUGAGGUUGAGCUGAGCUCUGAAGUGUGAGUGGCAUUUGGGGACACAGAAGAAAGGGAUAUUUCAACAAGAAGUGGUGAGCAAAGGAGAGCAGCUGCUAAAGAGCACCAUACCUGCCCGGAGAGAAUUAUCUGGAGCCACUGCAUACUCAGGUGCCAUUGUGAGGCAUUAAAUCACUGGGGACCUGAACUCCUCCAUGGGAAAUUCCAUGGACAAUGACUAUCUUCCAAAAGCACAGCUAAGAGACCCUGACAAGACCCUGAUGUCACCAAACAAGGUGAUGAGAAACCUACCUCUGACUACCUAUUAACAAAAAAGAAUUGACAUUUUGAGGGCCAGUAAAUGAAUUAGGCUGAAUUUGCCUUUUUAUCUAGUGUUGGUCCUCUGUUGAUCUCUGCUAACAAUGUAAAUUUAUUUUAGCUUUGGACACAAUGGUGGCUAUGAACAUACACUGCUCAGAUGUCCUGCUGAUCGAAGAAUAAGUUCAAUGAUGGCUAAGAUACUAUUCCUAUGGACCUGCCAUCAUAUUCAAACUCAGGACUACAUGGAAAAUUCAAACAUGUAUCAUCAUGCAUUCACAAUCACCAGGCAGCCAGACAAGAAACCAGAAAUGAAGGCAUCUGCCAGGAUACAGGUAUGCCAGGCAUGGCAGGCUAGAGCUUCCAGCUGUAACUCACCAUUAAGAAGUGCUUCCCUCAGAUAAGACAAAGUCCUGCCCACAGCCAGGAAGCUACUCACAACUGAUAGCUGUUAGGAAAAGGAAAACCAAGUUUUUCCAAUGGAAUGACUCUGA
rnacentral:lncRNA from 1 species